rnacentral:rRNA from 1 species
AUUGAACGCUGGCGGCAGGCCUAACACAUGCAAGUCGAACGAGUGGCGGACGGGUGAGUAAUGUAUGGGAAACUGCCUGAUGGAGGGGGAUAACUACUGGAAACGGUAGCUAAUACCGCAUACCAUCGGAUGUGCCCAGAUGGGAUUCGCUAGUAGGUGGGGUAAAGGCUCACCUAGGCGACGAUCCCUAGCUGGUCUGAGAGGAUGAACAGCCACACUGGAACGGAGAAACGGCCCAGACUCCAACGGGGGGCAGCAGGGGGGAAUAUUGCACAAUGGGCGCAAGCCUGAUGCAGCCAUGCCGCGUGUAUGAAGAAGGCCUUCGGGUUGUAAAGUACUUUCAGCGGGGAGGCGUUACCCGCAGAAGAAGCACAGGCUAACUCCGUGCCAGCAGCCGCGGUAAUAC